CAGGCGUGGUACAUGUUGUAAGUACAUUCUUGACUCCCAUGCUGACAACUGAAGUACCACGUGUCAUUCUCAUAGGAUUGCUGCAAAAUUCAUUCCGGAAGAUUCUUUCCUGCGAGCUUAUCAGUCGAUCGAACUAUAGAUUAAUUUGAAUGGUUUUUCAAACACUCUGCAUUCGAAAAAGCAGUUAGUUACGGCGUGUUAUGG